UUCCUCUUGUCCUGCCCCCUGUUACCUGGGAGAAGAGGCAGAUAUCCGCCUCACUGCCACCUCCUUCCAGGUUGUUGGUCGCACCUCUCAGUGCCUUCCUGGUGUUGCCUCCGUUUAGCAAAGAGAGACUGCUCUGCUGUCAAUGAAACACUCAGCCCCAGUUUUACCAGUGAGAUUUGAGAUUUAAAUAUGGAAACACAACUAAAAAGGGGCCUUAAGCACAAUACUGGGUGUUCUCAGUGGUUUGUAUUUAGAAAUUCAGAGACUCAUCGAGUAUCAAUGACAGCCUUGGAGUUUUCAGAGGGAUUUGCCAAUAUAUUGGAAGGCAAACCACAGAGAGAGAUGGAGCCUAAAGAAGUGAUAUUCCGCCCUGCGUGCUUUGAACGUGGUGACUGAAGAAAACAAAGUCCUUCAGAUCUCUCUGGGACUAAAGGGAAACUGCUAAAAUACCCUUUGAGCCUCUUCUUGCAAGACAUAUCAGAGAUCUCAGGGGAAGGUUGUUGUCCUUCUUCUUCCAGCCAAGUUCCAUAGUCAGAGGAACUCUGGAUAACUUCUAAUUUACCCGUUGAAUCUUAAAACAUCGCUUCAAAAUUGGCGAUGCUGGCGGUAACCUUUGAUGCCGCGGCGGGAAGGAAACACCGAAAGUGCACAUUAUCACCGGGAAGA